rnacentral:rRNA from 1 species
UAGGGAAUCUUCGGCAAUGGACGAAAGUCUGACCGAGCAACGCCGCGUGAGUGAAGAAGGUUUUCGGAUCGUAAAACUCUGUUGUUAGAGAAGAACAAGGACGUUAGUAACUGAACGUCCCCUGACGGUAUCUAACCAGAAAGCCACGGCUAACUACGUGCCAGCAGCCGCGGUAAUACGUAGGUGGCAAGCGUUGUCCGGAUUUAUUGGGCGUAAAGCGAGCGCAGGCGGUUUCUUAAGUCUGAUGUGAAAGCCCCCGGCUCAACCGGGGAGGGUCAUUGGAGACUGGGAGGCUUGAGUGCAGAAGAGGAGAGUGGAAUUCCAUGUGUAGCGGUGAAAUGCGUAGAUAUAUGGAGGAACACCAGUGGCGAAGGCGGCUCUCUGGUCUGUAACUGACGCUGAGGCUCGAAAGCGUGGGGAGCAAACAGG